rnacentral:lncRNA from 1 species
UAUUACCUUUGAUUUAUGGUGUUGAAAAACAUAUUCAACCUAAUUUAUGCAGGAAUUAACUUUGGUAGAGAUUAAUUUUGGAUCUAUGGCCCCUUUCUAAAAUAUAUCAUCUCUAUUCAUAAUCUUGGCUUGCAGACAGAGAUGGUAGUGAGGAAAAGGAAAAAAAAACCAAAACCUUCCAGAAGGGAAAUACUUUUAAGUCCUUAAAUGAGGAUAACAGAAUGUUUUUAAAAUUAGGAUCCCUUGCAGUUCACAGCCAGAAUUUAGAAUGAACCAAACAGUGUUUUCCACUGAGUUUGGACAUUUGGUAGAGCAUUUUACAUGAACAUACAUAAAAUAGAAGGAAAUAAAAAACAGGACUGUGGCAUACAUUAAUGCUUAAUAAUAAGUCAUUAAUAACUCUGAACUAUUUAACCGGAAUUACUCUUCUAUUAUCUGUGUCGUAUCUUAUAGACUCCUGAGCGCAUGUGUGUCUGAGUGUGUGUCUUGGAAGAGAAAAAGGAUAGGAAGGAGAGGGAAAGAAAUCAAAGGGAAAAUUUUUAAAUCAAAGAGAAGUACAAAAUAUAGCUCCGAGCCUCGGGACAGUCAAGGGGAAAAGGCUACGAUGAAUGCCAUGCCUGACACUAGAAGCAUGUUAGUUUGCCAAGAGGAAUUAAUUUUCAGCAAGUCGCCUUUGUUUUAGAAAACAAACAACAUAGCAGACAGUGUCUCUUUUGCUUUACUUUUCUUAGACCCCAGCUCUCUCUACCGUUUCACACCUCACUGGCUGAGGUGAGUCACUCACCGACAUUACCUGCCUGGCCCCAGUCCGCACUUGUGCUUGUGACCCCUCGUCCUGAGGCUGCUGUUCGAAGCUCAUCACGCCUCUUCCUGUGGAAGCCGCGGGCCAGAGAGCCACCCGAGGCUGGAGCUGCUGGGCUCAGAUCCCCGGGUUAAUGGGCUUGUAGAAGUGGAGACCAAACUCCAGAUCCAGAAGGAAAGAGAAGAUUCAGCCCCAACACAAAUCUGCCUCUAUCUCCUGAGAAGAAAGAGGAAGCAACCACUCACCUCAGAUUUUCUGGAGCAACCAUGUCUUGAGGAUCCUUAUUUUGUGAUCGAUAAAUUCUGUCUGAUGAGAAUACAUGUUCUACCUGUGGCAGGGGUAAAGGAUGG